rnacentral:lncRNA from 1 species
GGCGGGUGGACGACGGAGAUGACCUGGGGCGGCAACGGUUGGUUGACGGAGGAGGUUGAAGAGCAGAGGGGUCUCGUGGCAAUGUUGGAGCGGCGUUGGCGUGCUGCUUCAUCGCCGGAAAGGGGAAAAUGAAGGGAGAGAUGGUGAUGGAGGCUGAGGGGCUGACGGCGCGGCACUGGCAGCGGCGAGGACGAACGGCAGGAGGCAGUGGUAGAUCUGGUAUCGCCGGAGUAGGCGUUGGCGGCGCAUAUAGAGGGCGGUGGGAAAGCUAUUGGAGAAGGGGGUCUCGGUGGCGCUGCUCCGCCGAUCAGCGGCGGCAGCCAUGGGAAAGAGAGGUUAGAUAGAGAGAGAAGGAGAGGUGAGAGAGAGAAGGGGCGGCUGUUGUUUGGUUUUGGAAUUAGGGUUAGGUUUUCGGAUUAAAAAGGAAAGAAAAGUGUAUCAGAUCUCAGUCGUUGGAUCCGUUUAGGAUCAACAACUAAGAUCUAAAAAUUGAAAAUUUGGAAUUGAGUUUCAAAUGGCUAGAAUUGUAAGAAAUUGGACAAAAUUAAGUUAAAAGGUGAAUAAAUUUAGGCAAAAUGAAUUAAAUUAGGCUGUUAUUUAAAUUAAAAUAGGGAUAAUAGUAUAUAAUAAUAAUAAUUAAAUAAUACAUAACAAUAUUAAAUAAUAAGUAAUAAAUAAUAAUAAUUAAAUAAUAAAUAAUAAUAAUUAAUAAUAAAUAAUUUAAUAAAAUAA